GACGAACGCUGGCGGCGUGCUUAACACAUGCAAGUCGAACGAAGUGGCGAACGGGUGAGUAACGCGUAAUCAACCUGCCCUUCAGAGGGGGCCAACAGUUGGAAACGACUGCUAAUACCGCAUACUGAAGGAGGGGCUUGCGUAUGAUUCGCUAGUUGGAGGGGUAACGGCUCACCAAGGCGAGGAUCAGUAGCCGGGCUGAGAGGAUGAACGGCCACAUGGGGACGGAGACACGGCACAGACUCCGACGGGAGGCAGCAGUGGGGAAUCUGCCGCAAUGGACGAAAGUCUGACGGAGCAACGACGCGUGAGUGAGGACGGCCUUCGGGUUGUAAAGCUCUGUUAAUCGGGACGCGGUACCGGAAUAGAAAGCCACGGCUAACUACGUGCCAGCCGCCGCGGUAAUAC
rnacentral:rRNA from 1 species